ACACUAACUUUUGCAACGGAAACUAUGCACCAUCCACAACUGUGAUUCCUCCUACUUCAACUGUAUAUGACAAUCAUCUUGGGAUGCCUACAGGUUGUAAUCCAAAGCUUAUAAAUGGUUGCCCUGCUGGAUUUGUCAGAAAACGAAACAGUUGCUACCACAUUGGGCGACAAUGGAAAACUUUGACAGACGCCAAAAGAGAAUGUGUACGAAAUUGCAGCAGACUUGCAGUUAUAAGUAGUGAACGGGAAAACGAAGACAUUUCAGACUUUCUACAACAUACAAAGGCUUUACUUGGA